rnacentral:rRNA from 1 species
UACGGGGGGGGCAAGCGUUGUUCGGAAUUACUGGGCGUAAAGGGUUCGUAGGUGGCCAAUUAAGUCAGACGUGAAAUCCCUCAGCUUAACUGGGGAACUGCGUCUGAGACUGGAUGGCUUGAGUGCAGGAGAGGAACGCGGAAUUCCAGGUGUAGCGGUGAAAUGCGUAGAUAUCUGGAGGAACACCGGUGGCGAAGGCGGCGUUCUGGACUGCAACUGACACUGAGGAACGAAAGCCAGGGGAGCAAAUGGG